rnacentral:lncRNA from 1 species
CCGUUCUCAGCAUUAUCUGCUCUCUAGGUCUCACUCUCUAAACAGGUUUACCUGGAGCUCUCAUUUUAGUCCUAAAAUCCGUAGUUCUGCAAUCUUUCUCUACAAUACCUAUGUGGGUUUCUUCUGCAACUGUGAGUUCUCUCUUUUUACUUCUCCAACUAACAAUUUCAGUGUUUCCUUUUGCUCUUGCUGGAGUUGCAGUUUCUCUCUCUAACUGCUUGAGUGUUGCUUUAUUAACCUAGCAAUUUUUUAUUAAAAGGAUUGGAACUCUAUGUUUAUUUUCAGGUUGCUUAUUGGUUCUGGGUUUUCUGUGCAGAGAUUUAUAUCUUCUAUUCAGCUUGCCGGUUCCUCUGUUUCAAGCAGAGGCCUUUCGACUAAGACCCUCUCUUGUUAGGGUUUCUUCUGUUAAGCCGUUGAGCCGAGUCUCCAGGAGUUUCAGAGGCAUUGUGGUCAAGGCAGCCACGGUUGUGGCCCCAAAGGUUGCUUCUCACCUCCAUUUUUCCUUUUUAUGUAUAAGGAUCCAAGGCUUUGUGUUUUAGGGUUUAGGAUUUAUCAAUUUAAAAACCAUUUUUGGCUUCCUCCAGCCUCCCCCAUCUUUCAAUUUGUUUUUCUUUACUUAAAGUUGAUUUCCUUAACACUAGCACUCUGGUUAUUUUUAAUAUUUAGUCCUGUACUUUUUAACAUUCACUAGUUGAUUAAUGAAUUGGAUUGAUUUAUGUGUAGCUUGAUAUCAGACUGAUUUGUUUGUGAUCGUUUGUUUGAUUUAGAUGGAUUGGGAAUUUUUUGUAAUUUUUUUCUUUUUUGUUCUCAUUUCAUGGAGUAAUCUGGUUCUAGCUCGGUUCCUAAAGUUUCUAACAUCUAAAAAAUAAAAAUUAUGAUGAAAAUAUGCUAUUCUUUUCUAGGGAGAAGAUGAAUUAUUUGGCUAUAGUGCUGAAUGGAUGGCCGAAACUUGCAAUUUUGGGGCGCUCCCUUCUUCUAUGUUUCCACUCUAUUAACAGUUGUAAUUCUACAUGCCUACCCUUAUAAACAAAUGUUCUCUUGGAAAUUUUGAUCUUUUAACUACAAAUAUUAAGAAUGUUAUAAUUAUUUGAGAAAUAACUAGAAAAAGGAAUGAAACUCUAUUGUGAGAUAUGCAUAUUCAUACUUCUCUAGAUUGGUAUAAAUGCAACCAGUGCCGAAGUGUUUGAGGUUCUGAGUCAGCACAGGCUACAUUAUGCACUAUUGGAUAUAGUUUUCCUUUAAUUAUAAGGAAAAGGAAAUAUGGGUAAUGUUACUGACAACAUUAUAUGGAUGAAUUGAGGACUUUGUUUAUGUGUGCUGUUUGGGUUCUGGUGUCCUCUGUGACAACUAUGCAGAUGUGCACUAGAAAUGAUUGUGUAUUAAGUUAUGAUCUUAGAGUUUUGUUGUAUUCACUGCUAUUGGAUCGAUGAUUGCAAGUGAUGGCAGGCUAUUCAAUGAUCAUUGUUGUUUAGAAUGUUGACUUGUUUAAUAUUUGUUGCCAGCGUAUAUUCACUGUGCAAGAUACUGUUUGAACUUUGAAGCAAUUCUUGUCGAUUUAAACUCUAUUGAAUCUAGAUAUCAAGUGACAUUCAAGUUCUAGAUUUGUAUCAGAAUUGUAAUAGGAUCAGUGCGAAGUUUGAACAUUAUUUUGGAAAUUUGGUUCAAUAAAAUGCAGUGUUAUAUCAUUUGAGGUUAAAUGCAUGCAUUUUAGUCUUUGGAUGUUAUAUUGUCAAAUUUUUCUUUAGAUUAUUUGAUUUGGACGAAACAAGAUAUUUAGAAAAACAAAAAAGUAAAUGAUAAAAUCAACAUUAUGAUUAGAAAUGAUUAAUAUGAAAUGGGAGUGUAUUGAGAGGGUGCCAUCCAAUACAUCUAUAAUAUGCAUGUACUGGGUUAUGGCAAUAUUUUAUGUAAACUAUUGCUGGUUAUAGCUUAUGUAAGUAAGAGAUUUACAUAUGCUGGUCUUUAAAUGGCAUUAAGAGGAUUAUCAUAGCUAGUUAUGUCCUUGAGUUGGACGCAAUAUCUUCCUUAGCUGUUUCCUAAAAAGAAAAAUCAAAUGUCUCUCAUAGGGUGUGAUGUGGCAGAUAGAUGGUGCCUAGAGGGUUGUAUGUUAUUCAUUAAAUUAUUGUCCCUUGUCCAAUGAUGAAACAUGGCAAAAAGCACUUCUCAUAUGAAAGGUUUUAGUUGGAUGGGAAGACAUGCAAUUACAUUUGUAAGGGGCUUGCCAAAUGGCAUGCCAUUUGUAUAAAGUUGCUUUAUGCAUGCGGAAAUCAAUGGAGAGCUGUGAGUGUGGGAUGCCCCACUUAACUAUCUUGGCCCUUGGUUUGAUCAUUUUAUGGUGGAUGCAUUGCUUUCAACUUACGGGUUUUGAGAUCAUAAUUAAACCUUGGGUAAAAUUUGAAUUCUGAUUUGAAUUACGGUUUCUUUAAGGGGAUAAUGAUGCUUUAAUCUCAAUCUUCCAUAUCAUAGCCAAUUGAUGAGUUGAAUGGCCAAGAUCUUGACCGUUCUUACCCCUUGGAUGCCUUUAAUCAAGGGUCCAUGUUUAAUCACUAAGGAACCUUCAAAACACUAGCCUCUAUAUACUAUUUUUCUCCCACUUUUUUAUAACAUACUUGGAAUUUUAAAAAGAGCGAGACCCGCCAAAAGUGGCACGCCAUCCUCCUUUUCUUUACCUUGUGGUCAAAAGCCUUCCUAGAGAGAAGAGAGAGAUUCUUUUGAGUAGUCUAUUGAUACACACCAUUGCUUGAGGCUUAUGCAUGGUAGUCAUGCAUUGAAGUUUCAACUCCAUCCAAGUUUCAUGUUCUUGUUGUAACUUAAUCUCAAGAGCAAGGUAAUUUGCUCGUCUUGAACUCAACUAGUUGGUUUAGCUCAUGCAUUUAUGCCUACCUUGUUUCCCCGCAUGCUUUAGUUACGAUACUCUAUUUUGGCAUAAAUUAACCUAAGUUUCAUUGAGAAAUUUCUAUCCUACAUUUUCGGAUGUUUCUUUAGAGUAUCAUCAAUCUAAAGUGGGUUUUAUCACAUUACGAACCUUAAAUUUUCAAGCAUUCAUUAUACCAAAAUUUUCCCAUAGGUGUGCUUGAGCAUUGUACCACAUCUCUCACUUCAAGCCUAGGCAUGCCACAUAGAUACUCUCACUCUUCUCCGUUGCAGCCCCUCAUUUUGAGCAUCGUAAAUCUGAGUUUUAUUGAGUGUGGUUUUAUGCUCCAUAGUGUUUUUACUUCCCUUUGAUUGAUUAAAUUUAGACCCACGAUCUUGCACUAUUAGUAGUCGGCAUACACAAGGGUGUAAGUAAUAGUCGGUGGUAAACUCAAUGUGUUGAGCCCUUUUAAUGGCUUCCAUGAUAUUAGUUAAAGUGCACACAUUUGGUUCAUGUUUUUAUAAGAGGAGAUUUAGUGUUUGCAUUUUGUAAUUUCACAUUUGUAUUAUUCAAGUGUAUGUCUCAUGAAGCUUAUGUUUAUUUUGCUGUAAUUUUAUGCCAUAAUGAUAUAAUUUGAUAUUAGACUCAAUCUUCAAGUGUUUAGUAGAGUGGAAUUGUCUAAGGACCAACUUCAUGUAAUUUGUAGUGAUUCUAUGUGAGGAAAUGAGUGAUUUGUAUGCACAUAAGGUGUGCUGUAAAUUGUGUAAUUGAGUUGUACUUUGGCAUUGUAUUAUUGAUUUUUUUUGUUUUGUACACCUUGAACUUGUCCUCUAUACUAUCUAUCAAUUGGACAACAAUAUAAAGAUGAACUUCUACUUUGCUCUCAAUUUAAGACCCAACUUCAAUGUGGCUAUUUACGAGCGGAACAAUGUCUUUUAGUGGGCAUGGCUCCCGUCCUUUGAGAGUGCUUUGCAAGAGCAAACUCUUGAACGAGGGUUCUGACAAGACUUAGCAAACCCACCAUCUAAUUCUAAUUGCUUUGACACUGCAAAGCAAAGCCCUCUAGAGUGCAAUGCUUUGAUGUGUGCGUAGCUUCUAAAGUGCAAUGAGCAAGCCACCUAGUGGAGCGAGUUUAAAAGAGCUCAUAUGGCCGGUUCACCACCGAUGAUUGUUUACACUCCUUGUGUACGCCUACUAUCGAUAGCAGAAGAUCGUGGGUCCAAAUUUAAUCAAUUAAAGGGAAGCAACAUAUUGUGGAGCUUAAAAUACAUACAACAUAUUUAUAUGAUGGUGCUCAAAUGUGAGGGGCUGAAGUGAAAAAGGAUGGGAUUAAGUAUGUGGAACGCCUUGGAAUAAAAAGAGAGAUGAAAUCUAAUAUCCAAACAUGCUCAUGAGAUAAUUUUGAUAUAAUGGAAGAUUGGAAAUUUGAAGCUUUAAAGUGGUGGGAAACAUUUCAGCUUGUUUUUUGAAAAUGUGAUGUAGGAGAACUUGAAGAAACAAAGAAAAAUCAGCAAGAAGCAUACAAUUUUGGAGAAACCCCAGGGUUUACUCCCACUUAGCGUUCAAUACGUAGGCUUCUUUUGCAAGACAAAGUCUUUCUUUUAUUAAAGAGGAAUAUAUGAAUGACUCUCCAGCCCAUCGAUGCCCUUAUUUAUAUUGAAAAAUUAUUGUUUGGACAAUAUUUGUCCAUACAAUUUAACUUUUGACCAAAAGGUCCUAACUUAAAUAUAACUUGAAACUAAACUCCCUAACUUUAAUUAAAAUAUCUAAAAAUUCCCUAACUGUUCAAGCAAUGAAAUAAAUAAAUAAAAAUAUUUGAAAUAGCCUCAAAUAGCUAAAAAGAAACACCAAAACUAUUUAUUGCUCUUCUUAUUCUUCUUGGAAGCUCUCCUAGGGUUUUCAUCUUCUAAAUAUGAGUGAAAAUUAGGAAGAAUCUGUCGCUCCCAUAGAAGAUACUCAUGGCUACUUGUGCUCCGAUCUCCAUCAAAAUGUUACUUGUAUAUUAAUUAAAAGAAGUACAAAGAAAGUGAAGGGGUCAUUUUUUUUUUUUGGGGGGGGAGGGGAAGAGAAAUCCAAGCUUUAGACACAAUUGAGGGAGGGCAUUGGUUGGGGCUUGGGGUGUGAGUGAGAGAUGAGUAGAAGGAGGCCACCAAGAAGUUUUCCUAGGGAUUGGGGGUCCAAUUGAGGCUGUCCUAUCCCUGAAGAGGUAGAAAUAAGAAGUCUAGAGCGUUGGAAAGGGUUGAGAAAUCUUGAAAUUCCGCUUCAGAAAGAGGACUUCUCAAGAUGGGGCUCCACACCCUCCUGUUGCCCACCAACUGAAAGUAGAAUGGAGUUCCUUAAGGGGAGGGCAUUGGUUGGGGCUUGAGGUGUGAGUGAGAGAUGAGUAGAAGGAGGUCACCGUGAAGUUUCCUAGGGAUUGGGGGUCCAAAUGAGGCUGUCCUGUGCCUGAAGAAGUAGGAAUAAGGAGUCUAGAGCGUUGUGAAGGGUUGAGAAAUCUUGAAAUUCCACUUCAGAAAGAGGACUUCUCAAGAUGGGGCUCCACACCCUCCUGUUGCCCACCAACUGACAGUAGAAUAGAGUUCCUUAAGGGAAGCAUCUUCAAGCUAAGGGUCAAUCCAGAACAGAGUUUUGUCACCACGCAUGGGCGUAUAUCUGAUCUCAGAUUGAAAAUGGGGGUAAAAAUGCGUGAUAGAUUUUCUGAUUCCAGCAGAGUUACUGUGGACACGCCUUGACGGGACCCAUGAGGGGUCACUACUGCAAUAUUUACGCUUUAUCACCUCCUGCCAUAAGUGAUUACUUCGAGUGGCUAACCACCACCACCAUUUCCCAAGUAAGGCAAGGUUGUUGUCUUUGAGGUUACGUAUGCCCAGCUCCCCCCAAGAGACUUUGGUUUGCACACGUUAGCCCAUGAAAUGAGAUGAAUUUUCCUAUCCGCAUUGCUUGACCACAAAAAAUUUCGUCAUGAGCUCCAAGUGGUGAGCCAUCGAUGCUGGCAUAUGGAAUAACGAUAUCUGAAAGAGAAAAUAAGGACACGUGACGGGGAAGAGAUUUAUUAGGAAAUAGAAAAUAAGGACCCGUGACACAAAAAUAAGGAGGGCGUUGCUAUCGCUUAAUAUAUAAUAGAUAGAUAUGUGAACUCUGCUCUUAGCGGCUGUCACAUCUAUAUAGUUGGCUAGGGUGGUUUGAGUUACAAUGUCACAAGUUAGCUUUCGAUCGUCAAAUCUUGAUCUGAUGGCUCAUAGUAUUAUUAUUUUUAUUCUAUAAAUAAUUUAUAACAAAAUUUGGGACAUGUAUAUAUCUGAUAGGGGUGCACAUGAUACAAAUAGUAAAACAAUAUUUCCUUUUGAUAAGGAGGUCACAAUCAUUGUUAGAUUGUGACACUUUCAUCUAUUGGACACUUUCAUCUAUUGGACACUUUCAUCUAUUGGACACAAAACAAAAUUUCUAUAAAAUUGUGACACUUUCAUCUAUUGGAUUUCACUUUGAAUGGUUAAAAAUAAUGGUGGCCAUCUUGUACAAAAAAAUAAAUAAUCUCAUAGUACUAUCCCAUAAAUAAAUUUAUGAUAUUUUAAAAAUCUUAGCAAUAUUUUGAAAACAUCGGAUUGUACUUUUUUUUCCCCUUCAAUUCGAUGCUGUUAGUAAGCCUAUUUGAUUGCUGAAAUAAAUUAAACUUUUCAAUAAAAUAUGAGGCAUGUGCCUUAGUAACACAAAGCACCGUUUUGAGUUUUUCAACGAUGUGCCUCUAAGAAAGAGUGCUUAAUUAAUGAUAUUUUCGCACCAUUUUAGAGAGAUAAUUGUACGCAAGGGAAAAAAAGAAAAAUAAUGCAAAAAAUUAAAAAUCAAGCAGUAUUUUUGCAUGACAUUGUGAUGAGCAAUCCCACCCGUCCAUUCUCUUUAUAUAUAUGGAGGCCCUAGACCCUCAAACAGAGAAACGCUAACCGCUUUCGCCUCACUGUAAUUUCCAUCUUCUUUGGAGCCUUCCUUCCCUCUGUUCUCUCUCACCCUCUGCGAGCAAGAGGAACCAGUGCGAGCAAGAGCAGCAACCUCUCAAUAACCAGUGCGAGCAAGAGCAGCAACCUCUCAAUAACUCUCAAUCAUCAGUGAGCUCUCAAUCAUCGGUGAGUCCCUCUGUUCUCUCUCACCCUCUGCGAGCAAGAGGAACCAGUGCGAGCAAGAGCAGCAACCUCUCAAUCAUCAGUGAGCUCUCAAUCAUCAGUGAGUCCCUCUGUUCUCUCUCACCCUCUGCGAGCAAGAGGAACCAGUGAGCUCUCAAUCAUCGAUCAUCAGUGAGUCCCUCUGUUCUCUCUCACCCUCUGCGAGCAAGAGGAACCAGUGCGAGCAAGAGCAGCAACCUCUUCCCUCUGUUCUCUCUCACCCUCUGCGAGCAAGAGGAACCAGUGAGCUCUCAAUCAUCAAUCAUCAGUGAGUCCCUCUGUUCUCUCUCACCCUUUGCGAGCAAGAGUAACCAGUGCGAGCAAGAGCAGCAACCUAGCAACCUCUCAAUCAUCAGUGAGUUGUAUGCGGAUUUUCCAUUUGUUUCUGUUUUUUCUUAGUAAUUUAGGUUUUCGGUUCCUUUCAGGGUUUUGUUAGGAAUCCCUGUAAAAAAGAUUUAAGGCUUUCCUUAUUUUUCUCUGUUGUAAAAAAAUUUGGGGCUUUCCUAAUAUUUCUGUGUUGUUAAUCUCCUGGAUUUCUUGUACCAUUUCUGUUCAUACAGAAGUGAACAAGAUACUUUGAUUUAUUUCAUUGAUUCAUGAUAUUUGAUGCCCCAAAUGCAUGUAAAAAAUCUGCAACUUUGAUUCAUAUAUUUAUGUAGUGGUGAUUCGAGUUUACUGAUUCUAGAGAGCUACAAUAGUUCUUUAUUUUGUGGCUGUCAUUUGACAGCCACGAAAUUUGAGUUUACAGUAUGGAACUUUUAUAUGUUGUUAUUGUCCCUCGAUAAAGAUUUUUUUUUCCCCUAUUGUGUUUUGGAUUUCCUCUGUUUAUGUAGUGGUUUUUGGUGAUGUUCUGUACAUAACAAAGCUGAGAAUGUUCCUAUAUAAUCUGAUUUAUUUCCUUGAUUCAUAGUGGAAUGGAUGAAAAUUUUCUUCAAAAUGGAAUUGAUGGUCCUCAUUUCUUUAAAAUGGAAUGGAUGAAAAUUUUAUUUCCCAUUUUCUCUCCUCUGUACUUUUUCUUCCAUUCUUUAACAUUCGAGUACUUCUUUAACAUUCCAGGAGGUUCCAAUUUACAGUUCAUAAACUUACUUCCAGUUAUCAAAUAAAGCCCUUAUAAUUUUUCUCUCUCUUUCUCUCUUCAAACACUAACCCCCAUUUUUCUCUUUUACUCUCUAAAGCCUUAAACCUAUCGAUAAUGUGCCCUCUCUCUUCAAGUCCUAGACUUUUCCAGGUUUGGUUUUUUUGUUUCUCUCUUUUUCCGCCUUCAUUUUCUUCUUGUUAGGUUUAUCAAUUUGGUGGAUAGGUGGACUUCAUAUUUACUGAUAUUUAUCAACAAAUAUGAUAUUACUGAUAUUUAUCUAUAACUAUGGUACCUAUGGAAUUUUCACCAGAAAAAAUUGAUAUUUUCACUAUAUUUUUUGGCUUUAUCGGAACAUUACUGUGAUGAUAAUAUUAUACAACAGGUUUUGUUACUUUUUGAUACAGUAGUCUAGUUUUCCCUGCAUUCUACUAUUACUUAUAGGGAAAAAGAAAUGAAUUUUCUGAUAUUCAGGAGUGUGAGAAAUUGAUUAAUACUGGUAUUUAAUAGAACAAUAUGAAUCUAAUAUUUAUUAAAGCAUAAUUUUAAUGAAUUUACUAAUAUUUGUUAUUAAUAUGGAAAUCUAUUGAUAUUUACUCUUAUUUAUUAGUAAUAAUCCUAUUUAUUAAUAAGCAUCAGUAAAAGUGAUAUUUUUAGUAAUACAGCAACACAGUAAAACAAUAAAAUAUUCUCUUGAAAAUUUAUAUUUGUUUGGAACUAUAUUAUUUACUAAUGUAUGAGUAAAUCAGUAAAGUUGAUACUUAGUAAUAUUGUUAUUCAUUGGUCUUUUAAUAGUAAAUUUGAUGAUAUUAUCCGUAAAUUUUAGUAUUUUUACUGAAAUAUUGUGAAAUAGUCUACUUGGCCAACGUACUCGGCCCUUUGUAGAGCCGAGUUACUCGGGCGAGUCCAAAUAACUUCUUGUAUAGAGUUCGAGUUAAAAAUAUAAAAAAUCAACACAUAAAUUAAUGUAUAUAUAAUAUAUUCUUCGCAUAUAUGCAGUGAUUCAAAAAGCUGAUGUCCUAGAGCCUAGGCGGUCCAGAAGGCCUGAGCGCAUCGCCUAGGCCUAGGCGACCAAUCUGGGCAGCAGUCCCUGGGCGGCUGCCUAGGUGGUACGGAACCUGCCAAGGUGGGCGCCCAACGCCCUGUUCAAGGCGGCCGCCCAGGGACGGAACCCGCCUAAGCGGGCGCCCUGCCCAGAGACGGAAAUUUUUUUUUUCAAAGUUGACAAAAAUUGAUCAAACAUCACCAAUUGAUAUUAGAUUUAAUUUUUGAUGUUUUAUAGAUCUAUUGGGGGGUUUUUUAGAAGAUUUUGAGUCCUUAGAAGCAUCUUUGAUUGGGCAUCCUUUUUGGAUUCGACUGGGCUGCCUAAGUUUUGGGCGCCUGCCUAGGUGUUGGGCGGCUGCCUAGGUGUUGGGCGGCUUGGACCCCUCAGGCCGCCUAGGACCCGCCUAGCGCUUUUUGAAACACUGCAUAUAUGACAUGAAGCCUUAAAUGACGUGCUGGAUAGGUUCGUCGCUCUUAAGGGUGCUUAUAUGUUAUAUGCCUUAGGUUUGACUCCUCAUUUUCAUCUCAUGCCUUCUUUAUGAUAAAAAAGAAAGAAAGUAGUGUAACAUAGAUAUAUAACUAGCCUUCCACUUUUAUUGAUAAAAUUAUUGUUGAUGUGUUGGGUGGCGCAUGCGCUCUUAAAUACUCUUUAUAAUAGGUCUUGGGUUCAAAUUCUCUUCUCAAACCUUUUUUUUAAUACUUGUUUUCUCUUAAAGAAAAAAAAAACUAAGGCAUUGAUAGUAGAGGGAUCCGAACCCUCACCAUAAUGGGCAACAAGCAUGCACACUACCCAGCACACUACUUGAGUGUUCUGUCUUCAAGUUGGCACAUUAUUAUAUGUAAACAUUAAGAUGUGUGUCUAGUGUGAUUGAGUUACUCGUCCGAGUCUGAGUAGACCCUUCUGAGUCUCGAAACACUGUUGUGAAAAAAAGACUAAUAUUAUUUGUGCUUAUGCUAAUUUUUUGCUAAUAUUUAUCAAGAAAUAUCAAUAAAUUCACUGAUAGUUUUUUAUUGCCAUUUGUUAGUAACAUUACUCAUAAAUCGCUUAUUAUGAGAUUUAUGGAUAUGUAAUUUAUACAGUGGGAGGUGCUGAUCAGUUCCCUUUGCCUUUCGUGUGUGUUUAUGUAAUACAUAUUUAGUUAAUGCAUAAAAUUGGCUUGUGUUUGUUUGGAUGUUUCAAUGUUGCUUUUUGGUUUGGUUUGACUUCCUUUGAGAUAAUUUGCUUUGGAUACAAGGAAGUCACAGUUAUUAUAAAAGUUGGAUGUGAAAUCGGGUUGUUGAGGAUGUGUGGUUUGAUUAGACACAAAGUUCUCAAGUAUUGUUAUACACUUCAAUAUAUUGAGUUUUACAUCCAAUGAAUAAAAAUGAUUGCGACCUCCUUGUACCUAAAGUGAGUAUUCUUAGUAUACAACAUCAUUACCUUAUUAUUAAACUUUGCUUUAGUUUACUCUUCUAUUAUUUUUGGUACUUAUUAUCUUUCCCUUUAUUUAUUUACUUGCAGUUGGACCAUAUUGUGGUUGAGUUGGACCAUAUUGUGGUUGGCAGCAUAAUAGUUGAUAAAGACAAGUGUGAUGGAUGGAUGGUGUUGGAGAGAUGUGUGGCCAUUCAAGACAUGCAAGGAUCCAGAGGUAGGUUUCCCUCACGUUCCAAUGUUGUCCAUCCAUCAAAUCAGUGGUGUUAGGCUGGUCUCUACUAAGGGUGGCAAUGGCCCGGUUGGCCUGGCCCAGCCCAACACAUACUUUUUUCAUAUUUAUUUGUUAUUAUUAGUUUUUUACUUUGUUAGCUUUUAAUUUUAUCUUAUGUAGCUCGGCCAAAUUUGGCCAGGGCCAGCCCUCAGGGGAGUAAUGCCGGGCUAGGGCCAGGGUUGACCCGACCUGCUGCCAGCCCUUGUCUCUACCUUGUUAGGUACAUUUGGAUCUACUUUAUCAUUCCUCUAAGACUAAUAUAUGUUUUUUAUAUUAUGAAAUGGAACCUUAAUAUAAGGUUGUAGUAUUUAUAGUUCAAAUUAUAUUUACUUGUAUUAAUUAUAUACUUGAUUUGUAGGGUUUACACUACGGCAUUAGCGGUAUCGGAAAAUAGGUAUGUUGUAAAUACUCUCAAUCAGUACAUAUUUGACAAUGUUUUUGUUAACAUGAAAAUAUUAUCUCGUCACUCAAUUGUAUAAUAUUAUAUUAUAAAGAUGUGUAAAAUAUAAACUUAAUUCAGAAAAAUAUAUAUAGAACUCUAGAAAAAUUGAUUGGAAGAUAUGUGGAUAUAGAAAAAUCAGUAGAGAUUGAUUGAUUUAGGAGAUAUGAGAGUGACUCGCUUAUGAAAAGUUUGUAAUGAUGCCAAAUAGUUUUUACUAAGAAGGAGCAACUCUCAAAUACCAAGAAUAGACGUAGGGUCUUAUAUAUGCUUUGAGAGGAAAGUGCUGGCAUUGACAAAUUUUUUAAUAGUCUAAAGUAGAUCAGUACAUGUCUUUACUUUAAAAUUCAUUGGCACCUAAUCUGAUUUUUGAUAUUCUUUAGUAUAUAAAAUUCACUGGCAUUGACAAAUUUUUUUUCUUUUUUGAUAGGAGUUGACUUAGCUUAAAAUUUAAAAGAAGUUACAUGAAGUUACACUGUCAAAGUUGGGUCCACCACUCGUGGACUGCAGUUGUGUCAUAGUCCCUGAGAGGAGGACCAGACAAUACAAACUCAAACACACUGAAAAGCUGAAAAGGCUUAUAGAUAUGCCCAGUUACAAAAGCGGAAAAGAAGAGAGCAUGGUAGGGGCUUAUGGAAUUGGCCCUUUACAAUAACUGUUACACAAGGGGAAGAAGGAAAGCACUCAGACCAACUGUAUGUAGUUAGGUGUGUUGCCGGGGCAGCUUCUUUAGCGAGUGCGUCUACGGUCUCGUUUGCGGUCCUUCGGGUGUGCUUCCAAGUGACUUCCAGGUCCCUGUGUAAGUGAUGAAUCUCAUAAAAAAUAUUGAUCAGAUACCAAGGUGGAUGACUUAACCCAGAACCCCACUUGAUAAUAUUUUUGGCAUCUCCUUUGAUUUGUAGUAUUCUUCCCCAAGAAUGCUUAAAGUUCUUGAUUCCAAAUAGUCGGGCUUUGGCUUCUGCUGUUUGCGAGUCCUGAAUACCUAUGUGUUUAGAAUAGGUGAGAAGGACUUGUCCUUUGAAAUUCCUAUACACCCCCCCAUACUCCUGCCGGACCAGGGUUUCCUAGGAGCUACCAUCGAAAUUGAGCUUUUCUUGAUCCUCUGGAGGAGGGUUCCAUCGAGGGGUACUUCGGCUCUGACGAUGACUAAGAUUAAUAGGAUUUUCUCAAUCUUUGCAUAAAGGAAGAGGCGGAAGUACCCACGAAUAAUUUGUGGUGGGAGGCCCAGAAAAUAACUGAGGAUGUUAUUUUUUGGAAUGUGGAUUGGGCGUAUUCAUAAUUCUUCGAAAGAUCUUGGAAUUUCUUUCCCCCCAUAUGUGCUAGAGGGUAGCUGCUACUGAAGCUUUCCACAACUUCCUAAAACUGUCCUCAAAGGACUGUGUUAACAGAGCCUGGGUUGAAUGUGGGAGAGCCCGCGAGAGUCUAAAUAACUGAAUAGUUAGACUCCAAAUAGAAUAUGCGAAGUCGCAAUGUAAUAACAUGUGUUACUGUUUCCUCUUCAUUAAAGCACAUAAUACAUCUGUUAGGAAAUUGGAAUCCUUUUUUUUGAAGGUUGUCUAAGGUUAGUGGCUUCCCUUGAAGCGCUAACCAUUGGAAAAGUUUAGUCUUUGGUGGGGCUAUAGAAUUUGACGCUCUAUUUGAUGGGCUGGCGAAGUCUGUCCCCUCUACCAAGACUCUGUAGAAAGAAGCAACUGUGAACCUUCUUGAGCGUGAUGGGGACCAAAUGAUGGAAUCCAUCCUUGACUGUGGUAAGAAGACUCCAUGCAAUUCAGAACUUAAAGUUGCAAAUUGAAGGAGUUCUUCCUCUGCCAAAGGCCUUCUAAGAGAUGGGUUCCACGUUCUAUUGUGGCCGGAUAAAGUCAUUUCAUCAUCUAUCAUUGAGUCUUUGUGGUUGGAGAUGGCAAAAGAGUAGGGGGAAUCUUUCUUUUAGUGGUGCAAAGCCUAUCCACAAAUCCUCCCAAAAUCGCACUUUGUUCCCUCCUCUUUCAUGAAAGCGGGUAUUGGUUUUGAACCGAGGAAGGAUAGAAAUCAGGGUCUUCCAGAUACCUGAUCCUGUGGAGUAGGAGUCAGUCUCUGGCAGCCACAUUCGUCAGUUAUCAUUCACCACUCAUCAUGAGAAAAAGUAGGGUUAGCUGCAUUUGUAUCAUAUGCAUCGGAAUCCAAUCCAUCAUAAUCGGAAUUAUCCCCCUUCUUGACAUAAUGGUCGUCCUCCUCUGUCUCUUCUGAAUCUACCUCUGCUUCCUCCUUUUCCUCCACCCUCGUCCUCUGAGAAGAAGAUCUAGUGGUCCUAUGAGGGUCGGCUGAGGUACUUGAGGCCUCCAUGACCAUAUCCCAUGUUAAUCCUUCAUGUCCCUUGACUUGAUCAUCAUCAACCUACCAUUUUAUAGCGUUGUCCAUAUUUUUUGAUAUGAGGGAGUUUUUGGUUUCUCUCUUGGCAAACUUGUCCCCUUCAAGUAUCGAUUGUACUUGACAUAAACUAGAUCAUUGAGCCUCUUUGAUUCAAGCAUGUUCUUUUUCUUAGUAUGAAUCUAACAAAAUCAAAUGAAAUUAAUUAAUAUAAAUAACUAAAUACAUAAUAGUAAUACAUGACAUAGACUAUUAAAGUAUUGAUUUAUUCAUAUUGUAAUAUAAAUUAUCAUCUCAAAAGUACUCCAAUUUCGCUCACAGCUGGAUGAGGCAGUGGUUAGGCUUAAGAUCCUAAUGACCAACUUUUGUAAAUUUGGAGUACUACACACAUGUUGGCUCCAGCAAUUGGCUGCAAAAAUGCAAAUUGAUUUUGAAUUACAAAUUUACAAUUGUUAAUUAUAUAUGAAAUAUUAAGAGUUAAGACAUAGAAUAGUAGAAUUAUCGAUUAUGGAAAACAAACUUCAAAUGUCACUAAAUGAAAUUUGAACUUGAGGAACUUAAGAAUAUUGUUACCUGAAUCAAUUUUGGUCCUUUGCCUCGUCGCCAUUGUUACCUGAAUACGCACUCGUAACUUAUCAACUCAUCAGCGCAUAUAACAUCCUGGAUAUCUGGAUUAAGGACCUAAUCUACACACUUAUUAAAUCUAGUCAUAAUUGUAUCAUUUGUGUGUAUAUCUCUAUCAGCAUAAAAAAAACUGGGUUAAAAAAAUAACCAGCUGCAUGUAAUGGCCGAUGUAGCUGCCUAUCCCACUUCUCAUCAAUAAUCUCCCAAAUAGGCUGAUUGCGGCACACAUCAUCAUCUAAAUUUUGGGCUCUCUCUUGCAUCUAUCCAUAGCCUCAUAUAUGUAGCCCAUAGAAGCUUUGUCACCAUCAACCAUGCGAGGGACUUUGACAAGAGGAAAAAAUACCUUAAGAGCGCCUUUCACCCCUUGCCAAAAAUCUCUCAACUUCUUCCCAACCGGAUAUUUGGACCAUCUCCAUGCUCUCCAACUCAUCUGAGGUGAACAUCUGCCUCAACUGGACUCUCCUCAAAUGUAUGCUAUCUAGGUAUAAGUACCAGGUUGUAAAUCUUGUGACCUCAUGUCUCACAAUCUCUUUCUUCUUUGUAAAUUUAUGUAUCAUGCUGAGGGUAACUGUGGCUGUAAAUGGAAUUCGUAACUGACUUUGCCUUCUUCACUUCACCUGAAAUUAUGCCCAAACCACCAAGAGCCUCAAGCAUGAGGUCUAUACAAUGUGCUGCGCAUGGUGUCCAAAAGAUUCUAGACUAAGCUAUGUGCAACAAAUUAGCAGCAGCAACAUUAAGAGCAGCAUUAUCUGUGACAACCUGUAUAGCAUGCUAUUCCCCAACCUCCUUGACUCAUUCUCCAUAAUUUGGAAUAUGUAAUGGGCAUCAUGGCUAUAAUCAGAGGCAUCAAUAUACCUAAAAAACAGUCCUUAAAGGACAAUUCACAAGCAAAUUCAUCUGGUUUCUUCUCUUCCUGUCACUCCAAGUAUCGGUCAUAAGAGAGACUUCAUAUUGAGCCCAGGCAUCCUUCUGAACAUCAACAAUCUCCUUUGUGAUACUCACUUCUUUUUUACAAAAAGACUCUGAAAACCCAUAUGGGUUGGGGGUUUCAUCCUAGGCCCAAAUUGGCCAAUUGCUUUUACCAAGGCAUAGAAGCUGCUUAGACGAGCAGUAUUGAAGGGAAUCCUUGCCUCAUAAAAUCAUCUAGUAAUAUAUUGUGCAACUCUAUCUUCUCUUCCUUCUUGAGUCUAUUUUCAAUAGUGGUUUGCUUCUUUGUUUUCUCUCUUGCAACCUUAAGGUCAGGCCGGGGCAAAAAAAAUUCAUAAACCCUCUAACCCUCGGCCUCUUAGGCCCCUCACUCCCAGAAGCAACUACAACUCCCUAUCCCUUCCCCUUAACCUGGGAUUGUUCUAGCUCCUGACACCCCUCCUCAUCCUCAUCACUAUCAUCAUCAUCAUAAUUGACCCGAACAGUAGACUUCAUAUCAGAUAUGGAUGCCUGUCUCUAUCUUUUUUCACAUUUACAUGACUCAAAUUUUUUUUAUCACCUCUUUAAUAGCAUUAUGAGUUCUUUUACAUAGGGCAACUUUCUCCUGAUACUGGCAGGAUGUUUCUUGAACCAUUUAUACCCCUUUUGUAUUCUUUUCACAAAAAUUGCAUCUUAUGCAAUUUUUAUCCAAAGGAUCCAGGUUGUAGCCAUAUUUCCAACUUGGGUUACCACUUCGAUUUGAUCUCGAAGAAGACAUCUCAAAAUAAUACAAGCAAUCUAUAAAAUAAAAAUUUUCACUAAUUUUGAUUGCUCGAUGUUCAAGCUUCCAUUUCUAAGAUAUUUUCUAAGGUUAAAAUCUUUUAAAAAACCCUCUAAUAGACUUAUAAAACUUCUAAAACUAAAUUUAAUAUCAUUGGAUGAUGCUUUGUUCGAUUUCUCGUAACUUUGAGAAACCCUUCGAUCCUAUGGGACUUAAUUACAAUUUCUUAAGAAACAAGUUAGAUUUUACGGUUGUUUUCUAUUGGAUUAGAAAAAAGGUUGGAGCAAAGAAGAAGCAUUUACUUUGGACCAUGUAAAGAGAUCUUUAGGGGUAGACUCUCUUGCAGACAUUAAAAGAAUAUACUCUCUUGCUCUUUAUAAGGACGUUAUGGGUUUUUUAAAAAAAAAUUAUUUUUCAUUAGGUUACUCUUCUUCUAAUUCUUCUUAUUAUUUUAUGAUAUACAAUUGUUUUAAUUACUUUUUUUGGAAAAUAUAUUGCUUGUAUUUUUUCGUACUCUUUUUUUAAGGGAACUCAUUUGUAAAAUUUUUGAUGGAUUUUUUGUUAAAUCAAGAUUCUUAAUUUAAUCUCACUAUUAAUGUACCUUUAAACUAAAAUUCAACAAUAUUGAGUUAAUGAAUAAAUAAAUUAAAGGAAGAAGUUUUUUUGAAAAAAGAAAAAAUACGGAUUUAUAUUGUCUCUAUUAAAAAAACGGGAUUUUUUGAAUAUCUUUUGAAAAAAUCGGAGUUUUAAAUCGGAGAUUUUUUUAAAAAAUAGUAAACAAAGACUUCCUAACUAUAAUUCAGCUUGCAAAUAUUAGGUCAUGUGACUUGUGGCCGAGAUUUAUAAACAAGAAGAGUGCAGCAUGCAAGUAGUUAUGUGAUUGCAAGUGGUGGAGAGAGAAGUGUAAUAUUGAGAAACGGGGUUAAAUUCGUAAAAAAAUUGAUAGCAUUGUACAAAAGCACAGCUGUCGGAAAGGACGGAAGAGUUAAAGCGUUAGAAGUGUUUAAGAGUUAAAGUGUUUUGUGUAAAGGCGAACGAGGAAAUUAUAGUCUAAGUAGAUAAACCCUUAAACCCAAAGAGAGAGAGAGAGAGAGAGAGAGAGAGAGAGAGAGAGAGAGAGAGAGAGAGAGAGAAGACGAGAGUAGUAAGUAAGUAAGUAAGUAAGUAAGUAGUAGUAGUAGUAGUAGUAGUAGUAGGUAGGUACGGUACGGUAGGUUAGGUUAAGGUUAAGGUNNNNNNNNNNNNNNNNNNNNAGAGAGAGAGAGAGGACUGACACGAUGAUUAAGGAAAGGUCAAAUGGAUAUAAGGCUUGGCUAAUGAGAGGGUGACACGUGGUUUGUUAAAGAAGGGUUACAUGGAUUUAAGGCUUGGCUAAUGAAUGGGCGACACCUUGUCUGUGAGGAAUAUAAGGAGAAAAAAUGAAGAAAACAAGGAGAGAGAGAGAAAAGGGGAGAAGGAUAGGGAGAAAUGUCUUGCUUAAUGUGAUUGGGUGACUUGCACCUUUGGCUUUUUUUUUCUAGUGUUGUGUUGCCCCACCUGAAAAGCUCGCCGUUUUAGAUAGACAUCAUUUUUGGUGCUGUGAUUCUGCUUAUGAGAAGCUAAGGUGGCAGCCAAGAGAGAGUGAGGACCAUACCACGCUUGGUUUCUUUUCUGGUGCUAUGUUGCCCCAUCAGGACCACUCGCAUUUUAGAGAGAGAAACACCGUUUUUUGGUGUUGUGAUUCUGCUUAUGAGAAGCUAAGGUGGCAGCCAAGAGAGUGUGAGAUACCAAGGUAUGCUCCUCACUCCCCCCUCUCUCUCCUAAAACUUGCUGGACUCAUUGAUAACUUUGAGUAUCAUAUAUAGUGGAGUACCAGUCUACGCCAUGUGUUGAAACUUUGUAUCUCUUCAACUUAUACCAGUGUAUUGCUUGUUCGGAAAAUAAACUUGUAAACAUUUUAUAUCAUUACCAUUAUGUUCUAGUCUGUAAUAAUUUUUCAACUUUUUGUAUAUUUGAUAGUUUCAAUGAAGAACAUUCUUGUCAGUCCUUAGAAUCUUUGAGGCUGGCUCAGUAAGGUGGCUCUGCAACUGCCACUACCAAGUUAUAAAUCAUUCAUUUUUGCUGACAGUUGGCCUACUGUUGUAGUUAUUUCUCGUCGCAUCCUGGCUCAGUAACGUGGCUCUGCAGCUGCCACUACCAAGUUAUAAAUCAUUCAUUUUUGCUGAUAGUUGGCCUACUGUUGUAGUUAUUUCUCGUCGCAUCCUGAUGUCAAUCGCAGGCAAACAAAAAUACAAAAAAUAAAAUAAAAACUGGCAACAACAAAACUCGCCUCGCCAUAAAUCGGCUGAGUCCACAGCUGAGUCCAUAUACACAUGUCCAUGACUUUGGGCAUCACUGCUUGUCUUGGUAUGGAUCAUUUUUUCUGGACUUCGAAAAGUAUAGCUAAUCAUGGCAAAAAAUCACUUGCAACUACGGUUGUAGGCAUCUUGACUUUUGCAUCUGAUCAUUUUCUUUUGGAAUUUGAUUGGGCUUUCGUUAUUUCUUCAAAAUGGUUUCUUUCACUUUUGUAGCUAAUCAUUUUCUUUUGGAUUUUGAUGGGGCUUUCCUUAUUUGUCCCAAAUGGUUUCUUAUAUUUUGGACUACUUGCAUGUCGUAAAAUUUUUGCUACUUCUUUUCAUUUCAUUUUGAUAAUUGCAAUCUUUUAAUUAUGUGAUUUUAUAUGCUUUUUAUUUCCAUAUUUUAUUGAUUAAUUUUAUGAUGGCUCUGCAUUCCUUCUCCUGGUGAUGAUUUUUAUGGUCUUAACAAUGCUUUCUUUAGUUCUCUGCAUUAACUUUUCUUAACUUUGUGGCAGUUCUUAUUACUCGGGCACUCUCUCGGAUUGAUGAUGGUGAAUAUGUUCUUUUUGCAAUAUUGAUUUUCUUUUAAGGAAUGAAGAAACUGCCACUACCAAUAUUGUUGCUUGUGACGACCCAAAAUUUUUGAAACGGAAAAAUAAUAUUAAUAGUGUUAACAGAAAUAAAUACAAAAUAAAUAAAUAAAAUAAUGAUUAUAUAUUAGUAAUGAUAAUAAUAAUAGUAAUAAUUUUAUACCGUUAAGAUAUUGCUAAUUUUAUAUUAACAAUAAAUAAAACGAUAUUAUUGUUAAUAUACUUGAGUCAAUUUUAUUGGACCUUAGGUCCACCAUCAUAAAACUUUAUGUUAAUACAACCUUUUUGUUUUUAACGUGGCGGCUUUACAUUCCUCUUAUCUCGUUUGUAAAACACCUUGCAUAUGAGUGUUUCUAUUUUAUUCGAAACUCUUUGUCUCGAGCUGUUUACUGUUUAUGUUUAGUAAAGAACAUAUUUCUUUCUCUCUCUACUCGUAGAGUUUACUAUUUAGUAACGGGAAAAGGGGAAAUGACGAAGGGGAAGAAGAGAAAGAAAGAGAUUUCAAAGGAUGCCUGCUUCCUCUGCAAAGAUGGUGGGGUGCUCUUAGUUUGCGAUUACUCGGCUUGUCUCAAAGGGAACCACACUAAUUGUGUUCGAAAAUCGUCGGAUUUUUGGAGGGGAACAAACAGUGUCAUUGUGGCUGGCAUUUACUUAGGUAAGAGAAGUUUGAGUUUCCAAUGUUUUGCUGCCCCUUCUUUGUAUAUGAUGGCUGUUUGAACAAGGCAAACUUUGUGCCUAUAAAAGAAAAAGAGGGUUUUGUGAUUACUGUCUAAAGCUUGCUCUUAUGAUAGAAGAAAUCUUAGAUGCUGACUCAUAGGGCAAAGUGGAUUGCAAUGACACAGAAAAUUACGAGUAUUUAUUCAAGGAUUAUUGAGUUUUGUUGUCGUUGAUCCAAAUGCCUUACUGAAUGGAUUGUAGAAUAUAAAAAUGAACGAAGAGAGGGAUCAUUAACCAUGAUAACAUAGUAGUGGCUUGAAGAGUCAUCUUUGAGAGAAGCACAACCAUUAGAAUGUUCAAGCUUGGGGUCUUCGAAGAAUACUUUGAGUUCAAUAAACGUUGAUGUUGGUGGAAAAUAUUUAUAUGAGAAUCUGCUUCAAGAGUUUGUGCAAACAAAGGGUCUGGAUAUGCCUAUUUAUUUUUGUGUUACAAAGAUUGUAGACCAUACCCCUCGUUUUAAGGCUACAGUCACAGUUGAUGGCCAUACAUCUGAUAGUUCCUUAUCUAUCAGCAGAAUGUGUUAAAGUUUCAUGUAUACGAAGUGUAAAGAAUAAGGUGACUCUGCACUCAAGAUUGAUGGCUUGGACAUAGAUUAUGGGAAUCAAGUUCUCUGUGAAGCUUGGGAAUCUGAGUAUCUAUGCUUUAAUCAAGCAAACACGAAAUCGACAACUAUAAGUUUUAUGUGUAAGUGACAUCAUCUUUUUGAAAAAUAGUCUGUUUUUAAUAAAUAGUGAUAUUUUCGUUCAGGAUCUUUAUUUUAUAAGUUUUGUGUGUAAGUGACUUCAUUGUCUUGAAAAAUAAUCCAUUUUUUUAUAGUAAAAUUGUGAUAUUUUAUCUAUUGUUAGGUAUUUUAAACCCUGUAACUUCUUAGAAAUAAAUUUAAUUUUCCUGUCUAUUGUUCAGAAUUUUAAAUAUUGUAAAUUAUUAGAAGUAAAUGUGAUAUUUCCGCGAUAAUUGAGUAUAAGUGGACCUGCAGUGGUCGUUAGGACCUAUCCGGUUAUGUCGGUAGGGACUAUUUGGACUCAUCCGGAACGUCGGUGAGGUAUGAUCGGACCUGCAGGGAUUGUUAGGACCUAUCCGGUUAUAUCGGUAGGGAGUAUUUGGAUUCAUCCGGGACGCCGGUGAGGUACGUUUGGACCUGUAGGGAUUGUUUAGACCUACCGGUAGGGGUUAUUUGGACUCAUCCGGUACGCCGGUGAGGUAUGUUUGGACCUGCAGGGAUUGUUUGGACCCAUCAGGACGCUGGUGGGGUAUAUAGGUGACCUACUUGGGUAUUUUGUGAAAUCCUUUGAAUUAUGCAUCUCUGUUAAAAUGUUUGUAUGCAUUUCAAUUAUUUGGAUUAUGUUUAAUUGUGGAUUUGUGAAAGUGCAAUUGUUAACUAUAACUGCUUUUGCUCGAAAUUCUUCCUCAGGUUGUUUUUUUAACAUGCAUUCUUCAGAAAAUGUUUAUAUCUUUCAACCAUGAUUAUUUUUAGGACCAUGAUGAUCACUUACUGAGUAGCCAAGGUAAAUAUUUUUCAGGGUAAUUGCAGUCUCAUAAUUCGAAUACAGCAGGACCAUCUUUGAAGAAUGUGUAGGCAUGAUUGACAUUCCCCUUGUAACUUUUGAUCAAAGGCACUGAUGUAAUGUUUGUUCUAUCAAGAUAUGUUUAUCUAGUCUUCAUGUUGAUAUCGGUUGUGGGCAGAAUUUGUACAUAUUAAAAUUACACUAUUUGAUGCAAUUCGAAUAUACUAGUAGAAAUUUUAAAUUUGUUAUAUAUAUAGAUAGUAUAAGAAUAGUCUGUCGCACCUCAGGAAUAUUAGUAAACUUGGGGUGUGACAUUGCUCAUCUUACUAAAACAUUAUAGUAAAAUUUCAUUGUGGAUAGUAUAGUUAGGGAGCUAAUCUUUAGAAGACAACCACAUGAAUUGAUUAAUUUAUGGUUUUAUCUUUUAUUUUUUUGUUUUUUGUUUUUUUUUUGCAGGUAUGUGAUGAGAACAUAGGGCACAAUAGAGCACAAAACAAUAUUUCAUUCUAAAAGCAUAGUAAAUGGAGAAGGAGAAGGGGAUGAUGACAUCACUUGCACAGGAAACCUUGGUAAAAGCGAUGUAGUACUUAUGAGAUCAUGAGAUGGAAGAAUGUCAGAAAAUCCAAGAAUUAAAACGUUUUUGUAUUUUUACAACGAACGGAUAUCAAACUCGAACACUAAUUGGUUUAAUGAGGUUAGAUCUCAUUAGAAAUCGUGUCUUGUUUUCUUUUAUUGUAAUUCUUUGUAACGAUAUCAACAUGAGUCUUGGCGAAGAUAAUACCACUGGUUCAAAGUAUUACAGGUAUAAUACAUAUUUGGACAUACUUUUUUUAUAUAUUAUUAUUUUUUAAAAUUUUUAUGAAAAUUACGGCUAGGGUAUAAUUCUACUUCUUUUCUAUAUUUUCCUGACCAUUGAGAAGCUACUAAAUGAUGAUCCAAAGUGUUUUUGCCUAUUAGAGAUCUUCUAGAUAUCAUGAAUAAUCUUGAGAUCAACAAUAGGUAUGUAUAAUAUUUCUCUUUUUGUGUAGUGGAGCUGUUAUGGUCCUUUCUAUUUUUAUUUAGCUUUUGAUAAAUAAAAUAUGGAUCUAACAUGUGUUUUUGCAUACUUGUCUUUCAGGUCAAGCCUCUCGGAUAUAUUAGAUUAUCCAUUCUUUUGGGACACAAGUAAAGUGUGUAUUUCCUUGUAGACGCCUUAUCACAUGAUCCAAAGAAUGGAUUUGAGGUUGAAUCAGAUUAUUUCAAAUUUGAAUAGCUUGGAAUGCAUUUGAGGUUGAAUUCUCUCGGGACACAAGUAGAGUGUGUAUUUCCUUGUAGACGUGUGAUUUCCUUGUAGACAUCUUAUCACACGAUCCAAGGAAUGGAUUUGAAAGAAUGGAUUUGAGGUUGAAGAAUCUGAUUAUUUCAAAUUUGAAUCGCCGGGAUUGGAUAAUCUGAUUUUCAAAUUUGAAUAGCUUCGUGUGAUUUCCUUAUAGACAUCUUAUCACACGAUCCAUCUUAUCACACGAUCCAAGGAAUGGAUUUGAGGUUGAAGAAUCUGAUUAUUUCAAAUUUGAAUCGCUUGGAAUGAAUUUGAGGUUGAAGAAUCUGAUUAUUUCAAAUUUGAAUAUCUUGGAAUGGAUUUGAGGUUGAAGAAUCAGAUUAUUUCAAAUUUGAAUAGCUUGCGUCCUAUUGUGAUAAAAAGUGGUGCUGGUCGCAAUGUAUGUCUUACUUAAGGAAAUUUGAAUAGCUUGCAUCCUAUUUUGAUAAAAAGUGGUGCGGGUCGAAAAAUCUUACCUGAGGAUGGAUUUGAGGUUGAAGAAUCAGAUUAUUUCAAAUUUGAAUAGCCUGCCUGCUAUUGUGAUAACGAAAUGUCUUACCCGAGGAUGGAUUUGAGGUUGAAGAAUCAGAUUAUUCUAAAUUUGAAUAGCUUGCCUGCUACUGUGAUAACGAAAUGUCUUACCUGAGGAUGGAUUUGAGGUUGAAGAAUCAGAUCUAUUGUGAUAACGAAAUGUUUUACCCGAGGAUGAAUUUGAGGUUGAAGAAUCAGAUUAUUUCAAAUUUGAAUAGCUUGCGUCCUAUUGAUAAAAAGUGGUGCUGGUCGAAACGUCUUACCCGAGGACUAUGGAAUAUUAUUAUCAACAGGUUCACUUGGGAAAAUGAUACAAUCGUAGUUUAUUUCAUUUUUUGCAAUUCAUUUGAAAUAUAGUGUGCCACUUCAAUGAAAAUAAUGGUUAAUAAUGGUUUGUGCAAGGUAUAAUUCAUUUGCUUCAUUUCUAUGAAAAUGAAAAGUAGUUCCAUGACAUAUCUUAUGUUUCAAAUGAAUAGCUGACCUUAAAUAAUUGGGAUAGGUCUUGGAUGAUGAUGACAUUCCAAAUGAAUGUUGCAGUCGCAUAUUGGUGAUUUUGCCACUCUCCAUGAUUUCCAAAGUUGCCUGUGGCGAUCCACAGGCUUGCCAAGUCCGAACUUGGCAAACAAAGGUUGCAAAGCUAUUUUCAACCAUGCACUGCGUAAUCAAAGUCGCUUGGUAUCACAAUUUUCUCAGUGGCUGACAGUUUGGCCAAGGAGGGAGCUUCAUCUACCUCAUUUAUUGUUGUCCCACAUUUCCCUAGUUCCUUUCACUUCGUUUCCUUUUGCUGCAUAGCAUUUUUGGGCUCUUAAAGGUUUUUGUAAAGCUUAACCACUCUUGUGGUUGCAUACCAUUGUUGUCCUUGUUAUAUCAAUAUACAGUCAGCUUCAUCAAAAAAAGAAAAGAAAUGAAACUCUCUUGGUCAACUCUCUGGUUGGACUUGUAAUGGAGGCAAUCCUUUUGGACAGAAUUUGAGAGAAGUCACAUGCUCUGGUUCUUCAGUUACAAAACUAUAACAUAUCUCUCCAAUGUUUCUUGUCACAUAAAUUUCUCUCCAUUGUUUUACAAGAUUUUCUACUCUUUCUCCGUGGUAAGCUUGACUACAGUCAUCUCUAAUAUAUUUGCCUUUAAUGCAUUUUCUGAGCAGAAAAUUAUCAGGUCUUGGACUGUCUGGUUCAUUGGGCUAUUAGCUUACUAGUCUGACUUCUCUAUGUGGGUGUGUGCACUUGUGUGCGUGUGGGAGAGAGAGAGAGAGAGAGAGAGAGAGCGCACUCUGAAAUUGAGAUAUUCAUGUGUAAUUUUAUGUAGGUUUUGAUAUGAAAUAAUGUUUUAUUAAACUCUAUAGUGAUGUGAGCAAUAAUAAUCUUAGAAACAACAUACCAUACUACCUUUUCUGCAGCCAUUUGGAUUUGGCACCUAUAAUCUGAAGAGGGAAUAUGAAUUUGCAGAAAUUUAGCGGGAAAUUCUUCUACAGGGAAUACCCCUUAUUCUAAUGCACAAAUGCCUACUCUUCACUAUCUCUAAGGGACACCUGAAUUCUUUUAUUUCUUCCUCAAUCACAAGUAUCUUGGCUGGCUUCCUCCUUUUUCUUUUCUUUAUUAUAAAACAAGGUGUCCUUAUUUUCUUUUUUGUGUUCUCUGGGAACUGUCAAUGAAGUGUGGAAUUCUGUGGUUAUGCAUUGAUAUUGGUCAUAAUGAACUCCAGGUCAGUUGGGUGACAUCUUUGGGCAGCUUUCUAGUCUCACCACUCUGAUAUACUAUCCCCUUUUCUUGUUUAGGAUGUUAUGAUGAUUGUGCUUUAUGACUGCCACUAAGUGUCAUGUUUUAUUUCAUCUUUCAUAGUGUUGUUCUUCUUCUUCCAAAUGUUGCUCAAAAGCAUUACAUUGAGAAUGAUAUGGUCAAAGACUACCUUAAAAUUUUAUUAGAGUUUAGAUCAUAAUACAUGUAGAGCUCUCUCAUAUUGUGAACAGAUUGUGUGUUGGG